AUGCGUCGCCUCGCCAAGUCCCUGCAAUCAUGCCGCUGUUCACCUGUUGUUGUCGCUGCUCUUCAGAGCGAGCAGUUUGCCCGCUCGCCUGCGCCUCAUGUUGACCAAGCACGAUGCCGCAGCGACCGCGCGUGGGCCUCCUCUUGCCUCGCCCCGGCCCAGAGCUUCCUCCAGCAAGUCCGGCCCAACACCAAGGCGCAGGCCCAGCUCCCUUCAGCCGCGCAGGCCCAGCUCCCUUCGCCCGUGAGGCCCAGCUCCGCGCGCCCCUGCAGGCCCAAUGUGAGCCACCCACAUCCCAGCGCCCCUCCUUUGUCCUUACCAGUUGGGCUACCCAAAUUCGGCCUGUUUCUUUUUUUCCCUGCGAACGAAUUUCCUAAUUUCCAAUACAUGCAUAAUUACAGGAGGAUGCCAUUAUUUUAA
rnacentral:rRNA from 1 species